rnacentral:lncRNA from 1 species
AUGAGGGGCCUCCGCUCCCCAUGCAUUCGUGCAAGCCUGCGUGCACCCAAGGGUCAAGGGGGGUCACCCCCGCAGUGGGGUUCACUCUCCCCGAGGUCUCCCCAGAGACAAAGGCCCCAGUCCCUCCCGNCCCGCCCCGCCCCCCCUUACCAGGGUUUUGGCUACGUUCCCCCUCUGGGUGAUGUUUUUGCUGUGCUUCUCGUUGGCCAUCCGGAUCCGCUGCUUGGCCACCAUGGCUGGGCGCUAGCCCCCGGCACGAGCCCCCGCGACCGCGACCCGGCGGCGGGCGACAGCGACAGCGACAGGGACAGGGCGGCCGCGGGCGCUGCAGGUGGCAGAUUUUAUUUAUUUAUUCAUGAGACAGAGAGAGGGAGAGGCAGGCUCCAUGCAGGGAGCCCGACGUGGGACUCCAUCCCUGGACUCCAGGAUCACACCAUGGGGCCAAAAGCAAGUGCUAAACUACUGAGCCACCCAGGGAUCCCCCCUGAAACCCGUUCUUAACUGAGAAGCCUGCCUUCCCACAGGCUCAGGUGGCUCUUACAGUUGGCCGAACAGAGGUUCGACUGAGCAUUGGAACAUCUGGGUCCUACUCCCAGCUAUCCCGGCUGUAGGAUCGUAACAGACCACUUAGUUCUAGGCCUCAUUUGUUAGAUUUGUAAAACAAGAAUAAUA